UUAAGCGACUAAGCGUACACGGUGGAUGCCCUGGCAGUCAGAGGCGAUGAAGGGCGUGCUAAUCUGCGAUAAGCGCCGGUAAGGUGAUAUGAACCGUUAUAACCGGCGAUACCCGAAUGGGGAAACCCAGUGUGAUUCGUCACACUAUCAUUAACUGAAUCCAUAGGUUAAUGAGGCGAACCGGGGGAACUGAAACAUCUAAGUACCCCGAGGAAAAGAAAUCAACCGAGAUUCCCCCAGUAGCGGCGAGCGAACGGGGAGGAGCCCAGAGCCUGAAUCAGCAUGUGUGUUAGUGGAAGCGUCUGGAAAGGUGCGCGAUACAGGGUGACAGCCCCGUACACAAAAGCGCAUGUGCUGUGAGCUCGAUGAGUAGGGCGGGACACGUGGUAUCCUGUCUGAAUAUGGGGGGACCAUCCUCCAAGGCUAAAUACUCCUGACUGACCGAUAGUGAACCAGUACCGUGAGGGAAAGGCGAAAAGAACCCCGGCGAGGGGAGUGAAAAAGAACCUGAAACCGUGUACGUACAAGCAGUGGGAGCACCCUUCGGGGUGUGACUGCGUACCUUUUGUAUAAUGGGUCAGCGACUUAUAUUCUGUAGCAAGGUUAACCGUAUAGGGGAGCCGGAGGGAAACCGAGUCUUAAUUGGGCGUUAAGUUGCAGGGUAUAGACCCGAAACCCGGUGAUCUAGCCAUGGGCAGGUUGAAGGUUGGGUAACACUAACUGGAGGACCGAACCGACUAAUGUUGAAAAAUUAGCGGAUGACCUGUGGCUGGGGGUGAAAGGCCAAUCAAACCGGGAGAUAGCUGGUUCUCCCCGAAAGCUAUUUAGGUAGCGCCUCGUGAAUUCAUCUCCGGGGGUAGAGCACUGUUUCGGCUAGGGGGCCAUCCCGGCUUACCAACCCGAUGCAAACUGCGAAUACCGGAGAAUGUUAUCACGGGAGACACACGGCGGGUGCUAACGUCCGUCGUGAAGAGGGAAACAACCCAGACCGCCAGCUAAGGUCCCAAAGUCAUGGUUAAGUGGGAAACGAUGUGGGAAGGCCCAGACAGCCAGGAUGUUGGCUUAGAAGCAGCCAUCAUUUAAAGAAAGCGUAAUAGCUCACUGGUCGAGUCGGCCUGCGCGGAAGAUGUAACGGGGCUAAACCAUGCACCGAAGCUGCGGCAGCGAACGUAUCACCCAAGACAACUUUACGGAGUUGACGAUUGACGGAGCGAAGCGACGUCAAAGCGUUCAUUAAAGUCGAGUUGGCUUAGGGAUACGUUCGUUGGGUAGGGGAGCGUUCUGUAAGCCUGUGAAGGUGUGUCGUGAGGCAUGCUGGAGGUAUCAGAAGUGCGAAUGCUGACAUAAGUAACGAUAAAGCGGGUGAAAAGCCCGCUCGCCGGAAGACCAAGGGUUCCUGUCCAACGUUAAUCGGGGCAGGGUGAGUCGACCCCUAAGGCGAGGCCGAAAGGCGUAGUCGAUGGGAAACGGGUUAAUAUUCCCGUACUUGGUGUUACUGCGAAGGGGGGACGGAGAAGGCUAUGUUGGCCGGGCGACGGUUGUCCCGGUUUAAGCGUGUAGGUGUGUGUUCCAGGUAAAUCCGGUUCACUUUAACACUGAGGCGUGACGACGAGGCACUACGGUGCUGAAGCAACAAAUGCCCUGCUUCCAGGAAAAGCCUCUAAGCAUCAGGUAACACGAAAUCGUACCCCAAACCGACACAGGUGGUCAGGUAGAGAAUACCAAGGCGCUUGAGAGAACUCGGGUGAAGGAACUAGGCAAAAUGGUGCCGUAACUUCGGGAGAAGGCACGCUGACACGUAGGUGAAGUGAUUUACUCAUGGAGCUGAAGUCAGUCGAAGAUACCAGCUGGCUGCAACUGUUUAUUAAAAACACAGCACUGUGCAAACACGAAAGUGGACGUAUACGGUGUGACGCCUGCCCGGUGCCGGAAGGUUAAUUGAUGGGGUCAGCGCAAGCGAAGCUCCUGAUCGAAGCCCCGGUAAACGGCGGCCGUAACUAUAACGGUCCUAAGGUAGCGAAAUUCCUUGUCGGGUAAGUUCCGACCUGCACGAAUGGCGUAAUGAUGGCCAGGCUGUCUCCACCCGAGACUCAGUGAAAUUGAACUCGCUGUGAAGAUGCAGUGUACCCGCGGCAAGACGGAAAGACCCCGUGAACCUUUACUAUAGCUUGACACUGAACAUUGAGCCUUGAUGUGUAGGAUAGGUGGGAGGCUUUGAAGUGUGGACGCCAGUCUGCAUGGAGCCGACCUUGAAAUACCACCCUUUAAUGUUUGAUGUUCUAACGUGGACCCGUAAUCCGGGUUGCGGACAGUGUCUGGUGGGUAGUUUGACUGGGGCGGUCUCCUCCUAAAGAGUAACGGAGGAGCACGAAGGUUGGCUAAUCCUGGUCGGACAUCAGGAGGUUAGUGCAAUGGCAUAAGCCAGCUUGACUGCGAGCGUGACGGCGCGAGCAGGUGCGAAAGCAGGUCAUAGUGAUCCGGUGGUUCUGAAUGGAAGGGCCAUCGCUCAACGGAUAAAAGGUACUCCGGGGAUAACAGGCUGAUACCGCCCAAGAGUUCAUAUCGACGGCGGUGUUUGGCACCUCGAUGUCGGCUCAUCACAUCCUGGGGCUGAAGUAGGUCCCAAGGGUAUGGCUGUUCGCCAUUUAAAGUGGUACGCGAGCUGGGUUUAGAACGUCGUGAGACAGUUCGGUCCCUAUCUGCCGUGGGCGCUGGAGAACUGAGGGGGGCUGCUCCUAGUACGAGAGGACCGGAGUGGACGCAUCACUGGUGUUCGGGUUGUCAUGCCAAUGGCACUGCCCGGUAGCUAAAUGCGGAAGAGAUAAGUGCUGAAAGCAUCUAAGCACGAAACUUGCCCCGAGAUGAGUUCUCCCUGAGACUUAGAGUCUCCUGAAGGAACGUUGAAGACGACGACGUUGAUAGGCCGGGUGUGUAAGCGCAGCGAUGCGUUGAGCUAACCGGUACUAAUGAACCGUGAGGCUUAACCUU
rnacentral:rRNA from 1 species